rnacentral:rRNA from 1 species
AGAGUUUGAUCAUGGCUCAGAACGAACGCUGGCGGCGUGGAUAAGACAUGCAAGUCGAGCGCUGAUUACAGGGUAGCAAUAUUCUGUGGUCGGAGCGGCGCAAGGGUGCGUAACACGUGGGCAAUCUGCCGUGAAGUCGGGGACAACUUGCUGAAAGGCGAGCUAAUACCGGAUGUAAAAAUUGGAAGGCAUCUUCUGAUUUUCAAAGCUGGGGACCGUAAGGCCUGGCGCUUCAUGAUGAGCCCGCGGCCUAUCAGCUAGUUGGUGAGGUAACGGCUCACCAAGGCUAAGACGGGUAGCUGGUCUGAGAGGACGACCAGCCACACUGGAACUGAGACACGGUCCAGACACCUACGGGUGGCAGCAGUCGAGAAUUUUUCACAAUGGGCGAAAGCCUGAUGGAGCGACGCCGCGUGGGGGAUGAAUGGCUUCGGCCCGUAAACCCCUGUCAUUUGCGAUCAAACGUUAUUAUUUAAAAGAUGAUGACCUGAUAGUAGCGAAAGAGGAAGGGACGGCUAACUCUGUGCCAGCAGCCGCGGUAAUACAGAGGUCCCAAGCGUUGUUCGGAUUCACUGGGCGUAAAGGGUGCGUAGGUGGCGAGGUAAGUCGGAUGUGAAAGCUCGGAGCUCAACUCCGAAAUGGCAUUGGAAACUACCUUGCUCGAGGGUUGGAGGGGGGACUGGAAUUCUCGGUGUAGCAGUGAAAUGCGUAGAUAUCGAGAGGAACACCAGUGGCGAAGGCGAGUCCCCGGACAACUCCUGACACUGAGGCACGAAAGCUAGGGGAGCAAACAGGAUUAGAUACCCUCGUAGUCC